rnacentral:lncRNA from 1 species
GUAAUAUGUUAUCCUCAAAAAAAUGAACAAGAACAAAUAAAAACAAUUGAUAAUAAUACAACAUUAUUACCAAUUAUUUAUUGUACGAAAGAAGAUAAAAAUAAUAAUUCGAAUGAAGUAUGUACAGGUAAUACUGUUGAAAAAGUUGAAUUUAAUAAAAUUGAUAAAAAAACUGAAGAGAAUAUAAAAGAGUUGGAUGAAUCAACAAAAUAUGGUAGUAAACAGAUGAUAACUAUGAUAUUGAUUAUAAUGAUAAUAAUAGUAUUAGUCGCUUUUGUAGUAACAAUAAUAAUAAUAAUAAUAAUAGUACUAUUAAGAAUGACACCAAUGAAAAAACAUAUUGUAACUAUAUGGAGGAACAAUAUGGCGUUGAAUCAAAUGAUUAUGAAAACUAUAACAUGGGUGUUAACAAUUAUAACAAAGAAACAGGUAAAAAAAAAAGUAAAAACAGUAUGAAUAACAGUUGUAAUAAUAAUAUUAAUGAAGAAAAAAGUCAGAACUGUUGUGAAAAUUUAAAUAAUAAAAAUAGUAUUAACAAUAGCGAAACAUUUUUAAAAAGUGUAGAAAAUCAAUAUCAUUAUAUAGAUCACAACAAUUAUAAUUACAGUAAUAAUCUUAUGUUGCAUAACAAAUUAAUGCAAAUGAAACAACAUGCUAUGAAUCCAUACAUGAAUUAUAAACAAACUGAUAAUACAUGGGGUAAAACAGCAGUUCCAAUGUUUACUCAUAAUCAUUAUAAUCAAUACAUCAACCCAAACGAAUAUACAAUAUAUAAUAAUAUAAAAAAUGUGCCAUUCAUUCCUCCAUUUAGUUAUUAUCCAAAUCAUUUAUAUUAUUAUGCAAACAGUUAUAAUUACCAUCCUUAUACUACAGUAGUUGAUAACGUGAACAAUGGAGUUGUACCUUUUUCAGAGUAUAACAAUGAUAAUUACAGCAAUUUAAAUAAAAAUGUUUCGAACGGUAGUCAUGCAGAAGUACAAAACGUAAACGAAAGUGAUACAACGGAAGAAGUAGAAAAGGGAGAAGGAGAAGUAAUAACAGGCGAAGUAGAAGGAGAAGGAGAACAAAAAGCAGAAACAAGAGAAGUAAAAGUAGAAGGAAAAGUAGAAACAGGCGAAGAAAAAGU